rnacentral:rRNA from 1 species
ACGGGUGAGUAACACGUAUCCAACCUUCCCCUUACUCGGGUAUAGCCUCGGGAAACUGAGAGUAAUCCCCGAUGUGGUGUACGCUUCGCAUGUAAUGCACACCAAAGAUUAAUCGGUAAGGGAUGGGGAUGCGUUCCAUUAGCUAGUAGGCGGGGUAACGGCCCACCUAGGCGAUGAUGGAUAGGGGUUCUGAGAGGAAGGUCCCCCACAUUGGAACUGCGACACGGUCCAAACUCCUACGGGAGGCAGCAGUGAGGAAUAUUGGUCAAUGGCCGAGAGGCUGAACCAGCCAAGUAGCGUGCAGGAUGACGGCCCUACGGGUUGUAAACUGCUUUUGUGCGGGAAUAACGGUCGACACGUGUGUUGAUGUGCAUGUACCGUACGAAUAAGGAUCGGCUAACUCCGUGCCAGCAGCCGCGGUAAUACGGAGGAUCCGAGCGUUAUCCGGAUUUAUUGGGUUUAAAGGGAGCGUAGGCGGGAAGUCAAGUCAGCUGUGAAAUGUAGGCGCUCAACGCCUGCACUGCAGUUGAAACUGGUUUUCUUGAGUGCGUAAGGGGCAGGCGGAAUUCGUCGUGUAGCGGUGAAAUGCUUAGAUAUGACGAAGAACUCCGAUCGCGAAGGCAGCUUGCCGGGCCGCAACUGACGCUGAAGCUCGAAGGUGCGGGUAUCGAACAGGAUUAGAUACCCUGGUAGUCCGCACAGUAAACGAUGGAUACUCGCUGUCGGCGAUAAACGGUCGGUGGCCAAGCGAAAGCGUUAAGUAUCCCACCUGGGGAGUACGCCGGCAACGGUGAAACUCAAAUGAAUUGACGG